rnacentral:lncRNA from 1 species
UUAAUGUGGAGUAGUAACACCUUUUUCAAAGGGCUUCCAAAGGAGCUCCUCCUCAAGGAGAGGCUUGGUGAGAAGAAGCACAUACCAGAAAGGCCCUUGUUGAAGGCAGCACUUCCCCAUAGCCUGCUGUUUUCUCCACAGGCUUGAUCUUCCAAAUGUCAGUAAAACUUCUGCCCAGCAGUACGACCAAGGAGAACAUGCUGUGGGUAUGCUAUUGGUGGUUAAGGCAAGGUAUGGGAAAGCCUGAAAGCCAGAAAAUGCCUGGGCAAGAGAAAAACACCCCAAGUACUGCAUGGGCAAGAGAAAGACACCCUAAGUACCGCAUUGGCUGCAGGAAGGAUGGUGACAAGCAGGAAGAGGAACGACUUUGUGACUACGAACCACGACCAGGCCCUUCCCUGGUUCUGCUCACAGCAAGCUGCUGGUGCUCGGGAUCUAUUUUAUUUUUGCCUGUCACCGUGUUUGUGAGACUUUUAGUCUGUAGGCCUCUCUCCCACUGAAGCCAUCCAUCACUGGUGCUGACAGAGGUUCCUGCUGCCCGAAAUGGCCAGGAAGACUCGGUGGAGCCAGAACCUCAGGGGUCAAGUCCAGGUUGUCGUGUCUGAGCAAAGGCUGCUCAGGAUAUACGCGGCCCGGCAUCAUGUUUGGAAGGCAGUGAAGGACCGAGAGGGAGGAGGAGGAAGGAUAGGAUGUAAUUUUUCAUCCUGCGAGCAAGCAUGUGGACUGGGAAUGUUUCUUUUUGCCUGGGUUUCGAAACAAAUGCUGCUGCCAGUGGUCUGGCUUGGGGUGGCUGGAGAAUAGGGAGUCCUCAGCAUGCGGAAAGAGUGGCCAAGGUCUCCAUGGCCCUGCCUUGGCCCUCCUGUGAAUCUGCUCCUUACUGCUGGCUAUAAUACAGAGGGAAAAAAUAUUGGGCACGGUGCUGAACUCAGUGGUGUCUCCUGUGUAGGAGAAGAACCAGGAGGAGGUCUAAAGGCCCCUUGCCUGGUGGUUGAGGUUAGGCCCAGUGCCUACAUGGAAGCUGAAGAAGGCCGUAUGCUCCGCAUGGCACCAAACAGCAGCUCGGCCCCAGGCACAGCCACAGCCAGCAAGCACCCAGUCACACUGCAUUGUUUCAACACAUUUACCUAAUUAGUUUAUCAAGAAAUGUGUUUGGCCUCGUCUGAUACUAGGGAAAUGCUGUCUGUCAUUUGCAGGCAUCCUGCGGGGCCCCGGGGAGCUGACAGACCCUGGCUCCUUCCUAUCUCUCCUUAACUCCAUUUGCUGGGACUAUUUCCCAUUACUUUUUUUCCAUGUAGCACUCCCUCACCAUUUUGGGAUUAAAGUAAUAGAUAACGACAUUAUGCCUAAAAGAAGACUGUGACGGGUUAGAGGUAUAACAUGAGUGAGAACUGGGAAGAGUAUCUGGAAAAAUGUGCGAUGAAUGAAGGUGUGGGAACUUGAAAUAUUUUUAUACCUUUCCAACUAAAUUCUCUGCAGCUUGGAGCCUCUUCAUAGAAGUGAAGAUGAAUGAAAAAUGACUAAUGAAUAAAAUAUUCAUUUUGUGUGUCCCUGGAGGUCUG